AGCAUCUUCCCUGUCUGCCAAGAGAGGUUCAGGAUCCUGUUAAGUGAGAAUCGACAUCCGGGUUGUUGUUUCCUUUAGAAUCUUCUUUUAAGCUCCUUGGGUUGGCAAACACUGCAGGGUUGAGAGCCGGAGAACUGGUAGCUUGGUUGGCAUUUGGCUAUGAUCCAGUUGGGCAAGAGCUCUUAGUGGUGUCCCUAGAAGAGGAAACAGAGCUUCCUGAGUGUUCUGAAGAAAUCCAAGAUAUUCCCUAUUUAAAACGAUUUAAGAGGGUAAAAUUAAAGAGGGGAAGAGCAUAAACCAGAGUUGGUGAGAGUCAAGGAGAGAACCAAGUCCUCUUAGAAGACGAGGCAAGAUCAGACAAGGAUUAGAUUGAUAUCAAUCAAGACUUUAAUUUGAGAAUUAGGGGCAGACACAGAAUCUUGAAAACCACAGUAGGGACCUCCUGUUUUAUUAAAUAUAAGGGAGAGGAAGAGAAAGAUAGUGGUGGAGAAGGAA